UGUUGCCUCUUUGUAGCAGAGCUGCAGCUCAGGUGCAGGGCAGCAAACUACAGCCUCAGGAUCUCCAGCUGUUACUGCCAACAGCUUUUUCCUACAACACAAUCCCACUGCACAGCCAGGAAAGCAUCACACCCGGGCCUGGUGAAGUAUUGCAGCAAAGCCUCAGUUACAGCAGGUGAAAUCUAUCUCUGCAGAGCUUUUUCACUCCGUUACAUCAUUUUGCACAGCAUCCCAGAAGGGCAGAUUUGUAUUCACAGAUGCUGCACUUCAACAUACGCUGCUUUCAGUAGUGCUGACUCUGAGCAUUUCACACCACGACUCCAUUUACACCCAGCUCCUUGGGUUCCUCCGGGGCGAACGGGCCGCGCUGCUCGGCCCCGCCGCGACCCCCGGCUCUGCGGGCGUGGGCGCCUCUGCUGCCCGGAGCGGUGCGGGCCGCGUCCAAACGGCGGCCGCGGGGACUGCGAGAGGUUCGUAGAGAAUGCUCGGCCCGAGCAGGAAGGGAGAACAGAAAAGGAACGACGGAAAAGGAAGGAAGGACGGAAAGGGAAGGAAGGAAGUUUGAGGGAAACAAAUUGUUGACUUACGAGUGUAGAGGCCUAAGGAUCUGAGCUGAGAAGCAGAUUCAGGAUGGAAAGAAUCUGAGCUGAGAAACUCCAGGAUGGAAACAGAGAGCUUGAUAAGGGUAUUUCGAGCUUGAUGAAGGUAUUUAUACAGUCGUGAGAAACCAAAGUAACAGAGGGACCAAAGCAAGGGAGAGGAGGUGACGUGCCCGAGAAGGCACUUCUGGAGGGUUUGUCCCAGCUCUGAGGACUCCAAGGUACAAGACAGCCCAAAAUUGCUUGGUUUUUUACACAGUGGAGAAUGGGUGAAUCCUAAACCCAAGGUCUUCCUCUAAGGAGGUGAGUUUCAUGAGGGAACAGUGAAGGAACAAAGAGAAGAGCCCAAGGAUAUUGUUAGUGGCCUGUCUGCUGCCAGGCAGCCUGAGCCUGCACAGCUCUGGUGGGAAGGUUGGAAGGUGCAAACUGGGAAGUGUCCAGCAGGACAAAAACAUUUAUACAGAGUCUUCUUCCUGCUUUCAGCACCAUGCAGGCUUGGCAAAACCCACAGCAAAAUGGUUAUCCAGAAGCCCACCUGGAAUCACCAAACGUGCUGUUGUAUCACACCAGAAAAUUUCAAGUUGAGAUGAAAAUGUAGCACGUAACGUGACAGUGCUGAUGGCAUGAGGAGCACACAAAGCAGUUCUACCUGCAGUGAAAAUCUCCAAGAAAGCAGCUCUCUCGUUUUCAGCCUGUCAGCAAAGCAUCAGGGUUGGGCACAGCUUCUACAUCCAGCAAAAAUGUUCAUGUCAGUGUAGUAACUGAUUAGAAAGUUACCAGGGCCCCAAGGACACGAACCGUGUCCUCCAGAAGCUGAUUAAAACAAGGAUGAGUUUGUGAAAGUCGGUUAUGGGAGCCGUGUCGGACUACAGCUCCCGGCAUGCCAUGCGGCCGGACUACAGCUCCCA
rnacentral:lncRNA from 1 species